GCUCCCAUGGCGAAGUUGGUAUCGCGUCGCUCUGAUAAGGCGAAGGUCUUCGGUUCGAGCCCGAAUGAGAGCA
rnacentral:tRNA from 1 species